UCGAGAAUAAUUCACAAUGGGGGCAACCCUGAUGGUGCAACGCCGCGUGGAGGAUGACGGUCUUCGGAUUGUAAACUCCUGUCAUCCGGGAGUAAGACCUGACGGUGAAUAGCCGGCAGGGUUGAUAGUACCGGAAGAGGAAGGGACGGCUAACUUCGUGCCAGCAGCCGCGGUAAUACGAAGGUCCCGAGCGUUGUUCGGAAUCACUGGGCGUAAAGGGAGCGUAGGCGGCGUGGUAAGUCAGAUGUGAAAUCCCGGGGCUCAACCCCGGAACUGCAUCCGAUACUGCCGGGCUAGAGGAUUGGAGAGGUAGCUGGAAUUCUUGGUGUAGCAGUGAAAUGCGUGGAUAUCAAGAGGAACACUCGUGGCGAAAGCGAGCUACUGGACAACUCCUGACGCUGAGGCUCGAAGGCCAGGGUAGCGAAAG
rnacentral:rRNA from 1 species